UACUUAAAGGGACUCUCACCUUUGUUGCAUUUGAGAAUUACAGCACAUUCAAAUCAUCCCGCCUUCCUCCAAUGCCCCACCCCCUAAGCUACUGUAACGACCUCGCCGGUGACAUAAUGAUGUCGAGUCAUUAGUAGUUGAAGGUAGUUUUAAUGAACCAAAACCAGGUCACUGAAACCCGUAACAUUGUAACCAACGGCAGAAAACCGACACAAAACAAACCCCGGUUACCCCGGCAACCCCCAACACGGUCUCACUCGCGUGCAGGCCCCCACCCUCCUGUUCUUCCAAGGCCCUCCCCCAGCUGACCUAAUGAUUCGCCCCCACGCUGAUUGACAAGAAGAACAUUACAAUACAUGCACACAGAACAACUGGCAUAACGGACAACGAAAUAUAAUGUAACACAUAACACACAAAGUAUUUAACUGUCCCAGGGUCGCUACAGUACAAAAGUUCUAGACUCCCAUGGGUUAUGUUUAGACUCCCAUGGGUUAUGUUUAGACUCCCAGGGGUCAUAAUAUCUACCAUCCUGGAGCUCCAGAUUAGCGGGACAACGUCGCGUCUGAGCCCGAAAUGGGUCCCGUAAUCGGACUGAGUGUGGCGGUUGGUUGCCAACGGUCUGGAGGUCUUCCUGGAGCUCCAGAGUAGCGGGACAACGUCGCGUCUGAGUCCGAAAAGGGUCCCGUAAUCGGACUGAGUGUGGCGGUUGGUUGCCAACGGUCUGGAGGUCUUCCUGGAGCUCCAGAGUAGCGGGACAACGUCGCGUCUGAGUCCGAAACGGGUCCCCUAAUCGGACUGAGUGGUGCGGUUGGUUGCCAACGGUCUGGAGGUCUUCCUGGAGCUCCAGAGUAGCGGGACAACUUCGCGUCUGAGUCCGAAACGGGUCCCCUUGUCGGACUGAGUGGUGCGGUUGGUUGCCAACGGUCUGGAGGUCCUGAGAAUCAUCCAGGGGAGCGGGACCACUUGGCUUCUGAGGCCGAAUCGGGUCCCCUUGUCGGACUGAAUGGUGCAGUUGGUGGCCAACAGUCUGGAGGUCUUCCUGAGGCUCCAGAGGAGGGUAACUGUGAGUCUGAGUCCGAGAUGAGUCCCCUAAUCGGACUGAAUGGUGCAGUUUCAGUACGCCGUGGACCACUUUGGUCUGCCAUCGUCAGUCGCUACGGUCGCUACUCGCUACUGUCUGCCGUGGAAUCAAAACAAACCCUCUAGUUGAGGACGCGCCUUGAUGACGCGGGCCCGAAUGCGCCACAAGAA